GACGAACGCUGGCGGCGUGCUUAACACAUGCAAGUCGAGCGGCGCGGCGAACGGGUGCGUAACGCGUGAGUAACUGCCCCCCGCCCUGGGAUAACAGUUGGAAACGGCUGCUCAUACCGGAUAGUGGGGGAUGACUCGCGUCCUAUCAGCUUGUUGGUGGGGUAGUGGCCUACCAAGGCGACGACGGGUAGCCGGCCUGAGAGGGCGACCGGCCACAUGGGGCUGGGAUACGGGCCAAAGUCCUACGGGAGGAAGCAGUGGGGAAUUUUGCAAAGUGGGGGAAAGCCUGAUGCAGCAACGCGCGUGCGAGAUGACGGCCUCCGGUCUGUAAACCGCUUUCGGCCAUGACGCGGUAGUGGCAGAAGAAGCACCGGCUAACUACGUGCCAGCCGCCGCGGUAAUUC
rnacentral:rRNA from 1 species